UACGGGGGGGGCAAGCGUUGUUCGGAAUUACUGGGCGUAAAGGGCUCGUAGGCGGCCAACUAAGUCAGACGUGAAAUCCCUCGGCUUAACCGGGGAACUGCGUCUGAUACUGGUUGGCUUGAGUGUGGGAGAGGGAUGCGGAAUUCCAGGUGUAGCGGUGAAAUGCGUAGAUAUCUGGAGGAACACCGGUGGUGUAAACGGCUUUCUGGACCAUAACUGACGCUGAGGCACGAAAGCGUGGGUAGCAAACAGG
rnacentral:rRNA from 1 species